rnacentral:rRNA from 1 species
AGCGCACACGGUGGAUGCCUUGGCGGUCAGAGGCGAUGAAGGACGUGGCAGCCUGCGAAAAGUAUCGGGGAGCUGGCAACAAGCUUUGAUCCGGUAAUGUCCGAAUGGGGAAACCCACCCGCUUGCGGGUAUCCUGCAGUGAAUACAUAGCUGCUGGAAGCGAACCUGGUGAACUGAAAUAUCUAAGUAACCAGAGGAAAAGAAAUCAACCGAGAUUCCGUAAGUAGCGACGAGCGAACGCGGACUAGCCCUUAAGCUGAUUUGGUUCUAGGAAAACGCUCUGGAAAGAGCGGCCAUAGAAGGUGAUAGCCCUGUAUCUGAAAGGGCCAUUUCAGUGAAGACGAGUAGGGCGGGGCACGUGAAACCCUGUCUGAACAUGGGGGGACCAUCCUCCAAGGCUAAAUACUACUGACCGACCGAUAGUGAACCAGUACCGUGAGGGAAAGGCGAAAAGAACCCCGGAGAGGGGAGUGAAAUAGAACCUGAAACCGUGUGCGUACAAGCAGUAGGAGCUCCGCAAGGAGUGACUGCGUACCUUUUGUAUAAUGGGUCAGCGACUUACUGUUCGUGGCAAGCUUAACCGUAUAGGGGAGGCGAAGGGAAACCGAGUCUGAUAAGGGCGCAUAGUCGCGGGCAGUAGACCCGAAACCGGGUGAUCUAGUCAUGCCCAGGGUGAAGGUGCGGUAACACGCACUGGAGGCCCGAACCCACUCCCGUUGCAAAGGUAGGGGAUGAGGUGUGAUUAGGAGUGAAAAGCUAAUCGAACCCGGAGAUAGCUGGUUCUCCUCGAAAGCUAUUUAGGUAGCGCCUCAUAUGUAUCCUCUCGGGGGUAGAGCACUGUUAUGGCUAGGGGGUCAUCGCGACUUACCAAACCAUUGCAAACUCCGAAUACCGAGACGGACUGUAUGGGAGACACACGGCGGGUGCUAACGUCCGUCGUGAAAAGGGAAACAACCCAGACCCACAGCUAAGGUCCCAAAUUCACUGCUAAGUGGAAAACCAUGUGGAAAGGCACAGACAGCCAGGAGGUUGGCUUAGAAGCAGCCACCCUUUAAAGAAAGCGUAAUAGCUCACUGGUCGAGUCGGUCUGCGGGGAAGAUUUAACGGGGCUAAGCAGUGAACCGAAGCUUGGGGUGCAUACUUUGUAUGCGCGGUAGAGGAGCGUUCCGUAAGCCGUUGAAGGUGGAUUGAGAAGUCUGCUGGAGGUAUCGGAAGUGCGAAUGCUGACAUGAGUAACGAUAAUGCGGGUGAAAAACCCGCACGCCGAAAGCCCAAGGUUUCCUUGCGCAACGUUAAUCGGCGCAGGGUGAGUCGGCCCCUAAGGCGAGGACGAAAGUCGUAGUCGAUGGGAAGCAGGUUAAUAUUCCUGCACCUCGCGUAAGUGCGAUGGAGGGACGGAGAAGGUUAGGUGUACCAGGCGUUGGUUGUCCUGGGGAAAGGCGGUAGGUUUGGAUCUUUGGCAAAUCCGGGAUCCUUUAAGACCGAGCACCGAGACGAGCCUUUAUGGCGAAGUCACUGAUACCACGCUUCCAGGAAAAGCUCCUAAGCUUCAGCUUACGCAGACCGUACCGUAAACCGACACAGGUGGGUAGGAUGAGAAUUCUCAGGCGCUUGAGAGAACUCGGGUGAAGGAACUAGGCAACAUGGCACCGUAACUUCGGGAGAAGGUGCACCCUUUUUGGUGGCUCGUGCGAGCUAUAGCUGAAGAGGGUCGCAGUAACCAGGCCGCUGCGACUGUUUAUCAAAAACACAGCACUCUGCAAACACGAAAGUGGACGUAUAGGGUGUGACGCCUGCCCGGUGCUGGAAGGUUAAUUGAUGGGGUCAGCCGCAAGGCGAAGCUCUUGAUCGAAGCCCCAGUAAACGGCGGCCGUAACUAUAACGGUCCUAAGGUAGCGAAAUUCCUUGUCGGGUAAGUUCCGACCUGCACGAAUGGCGUAACGACAGCGGCGCUGUCUCCACCCGAGACUCAGUGAAAUUGAAAUCGCUGUGAAGAUGCAGCGUUCCCGUGGCAAGACGGAAAGACCCCGUGAACCUUUACUAUAGCUUUACACUGAACGUUGAGUUCGUCUGUGUAGGAUAGGUGGGAGGCUAUGAAACUGUGGCGCUAGCUGCAGUGGAGCCAUCCUUGAAAUACCACCCUGUCGUGCUUGACGUUCUAACCUGGGCCCAUUAUCUGGGUCGGGGACCGUGUAUGGUGGGUAGUUUGACUGGGGCGGUCUCCUCCUAAAGAGUAACGGAGGAGCUCGAAGGUACGCUCAGCGCGGUCGGACAUCGCGCACUGUGUGCAAAGGCAUAAGCGUGCUUGACUGCAAGAUCGACGGAUCAAGCAGGUAGGAAACUAGGACUUAGUGAUCCGGUGGUUCUGUAUGGAAGGGCCAUCGCUCAACGGAUAAAAGGUACUCCGGGGAUAACAGGCUGAUACCGCCCAAGAGUUCAUAUCGACGGCGGUGUUUGGCACCUCGAUGUCGGCUCAUCACAUCCUGGGGCUGUAGUCGGUCCCAAGGGUAUGGCUGUUCGCCAUUUAAAGUGGUACGCGAGCUGGGUUCAGAACGUCGUGAGACAGUUCGGUCCCUAUCUGCCAUGGGCGUUGGAGAUUUGAGAGGGGCUGCUCCUAGUACGAGAGGACCGGAGUGGACGAACCUCUGGUGUUCCGGUUGUCACGCCAGUGGCAUUGCCGGGUAGCUAUGUUCGGAAGCGAUAACCGCUGAAAGCAUCUAAGCGGGAAGCGCGCCUCAAGAUGAGAUCUCCCGGGGCACAAGCCCCCUGAAGGAACCAUGUAGACUACGUGGUUGA